UACGAGGGGGGCAAGCGUUGUUCGGAUUUACUGGGCGUAAAGGGUGCGUAGGCGGUUGUUUAAGUCUGUCGUGAAAUCCCCGGGCUCAACCUGGGAAUGGCGAUGGAUACUGGGCAGCUAGAGUGUGUCAGAGGAUGGUGGAAUUCCCGGUGUAGCGGUGAAAUGCGUAGAGAUCGGGAGGAACAUCAGUGGCGAAGGCGGCCAUCUGGGACAACACUGACGCUGAAGCACGAAAGCGUGGGGAGCAAACAGG
rnacentral:rRNA from 1 species